rnacentral:rRNA from 1 species
UAGGGAAUCUUCGGCAAUGGGGGCAACCCUGACCGAGCAACGCCGCGUGAGUGAAGAAGGUUUUCGGAUCGUAAAGCUCUGUUGUAAGAGAAGAACGUGUGUGAGAGUGGAAAGUUCACACAGUGACGGUAACUUACCAGAAAGGGACGGCUAACUACGUGCCAGCAGCCGCGGUAAUACGUAGGUCCCGAGCGUUGUCCGGAUUUAUUGGGCGUAAAGCGAGCGCAGGCGGUUUAAUAAGUCUGAAGUUAAAGGCAGUGGCUUAACCAUUGUUCGCUUUGUAAACUGUUAAACUUGAGUGCAGAAGGGGAGAGUGGAAUUCCAUGUGUAGCGGUGAAAUGCGUAGAUAUAUGGAGGAACACCGGUGGCGAAAGCGGCUCUCUGGUCUGUAACUGACGCUGAGGCUCGAAAGCGUGUGGAGCAAACAGG